GGCUGUAUCUGGGAACCACAGACAGAAUCAUGGAACCGACCAUCUUCAGUCUCAAAGGGCUGCCCUCACCACUACACCCAAGGGCAGAAGGUCUUCGGGGCAAAGGCGGUUCCAGUUCCUUCUCCCAAGCCAGUGAGGAAGUCAAUCCUGCGAACAACUGCAGGAACGGCCUUGGGAGUGGAUCCUUCCUCAGCCCGGCUCCAAGACAACUGCAGCCCUGUGAGAAACCCUGAGCGGAGGACCAAGCCAAGCCUCAAAUCAUGACUUGGAACUGGGAGACAACAGAUGCUGUUGGAAGCCAUUGACCUCUGAAGUAGUUUGUUACACAGUGACAGAAUCUGGGAUCUGGGGAAGGUAAACUGAGGCCACCAAUAAGCAUGUGCUCCAGGCCAAGGCUGAGUCUGUGCUGCAUCCAUGUCGUCAGCCACCCAAGAAAAACCAGUUACUCCACCUAGCUCAUGGUGGCGGCAUCCUCCCUGCAAUGGUGCAUGUGGGCAGUCCUUUCCCCUGCAGGGUGUCAUUGUCACCCCUAUCCUCAUCCUGGAGGCCAGUCCAGGCUCCAAUGUGAGUGACUAGGGGUGAGGUGGGGGUGGCAGAAGGGAGAUCAAACUGGAGCAUUCCAAAUGCCUACUACUGCCCUCACACAACGGGGCAACUGUGCUCUCCAACUCCUCCCCUUGGCAGAGAAACUGGUCCUGCAGUUUCAGGACUAGACGAGUGUGGGGUAGUGGCAAUAGAGGGGCUUGUAUGAGAAGUG